CCGAACUGCGGUUCACCCAGUUUGUGCCUUCACGUCUUUAUGGCGUGAUUGCGUGGGCUGGCUUCUUUGGUGUGUGGAAAUGCGAUUGUCUCGGUAGUUCGUUGCGUGUGUAGAACUCGCGGUGCACUGCCUCGUCGUCAGGUCGUGCAGCAAUAGUUAUCAAGUUUGCGGAUCUUUCGAGAAGAUUGGGCCACAACUACUUGUCACAAGUAACCCUAGGCGUGUGCACAUCAAUACCUAAAACAAACUAGGCAUGCAUAUAUACUCCAUAUGUUUAGUGAAAAGGAUACACUAUUAGUGGGGAAGAGAUCUAGAGAUGUGGCGUUGUGCAUGAAAGGCAGCACGAGUGACUAGUGAGGGGUGACGGCGUGCAGGCGAUGUAUUGUCAUCUCAAUAAUACAUGUCAUUUGGGUCUCUGCAGCUGCAUGGGCCAACAGUAUCGGACAUAAAUGUGCUUUUUUCUUUUCCUUCAUGCUCUGUGCGUUGCGUUCAUCAGUUCAUCUCUCCAUCGAUCGCCUUGUUGUUGGCCGCAUGCAUGCCUGGCCCGGGCCCGCGGCAC
rnacentral:lncRNA from 1 species